rnacentral:rRNA from 1 species
GUUUGAAACUGUAUAUCUUGAGAUAAGCCGAGGAAGAUGGAAUUCCUGGUGUAGUGGUGAAAUACGUAGAUAUCAGGAAGAACACCAGUGGCGAAGGCGAUCUUCUAGGCUUUACCUGACGCUCAGGUACGAAAGCUGGGGUAGCGAACGGGAUUAGAUACCCCGGUAGUCCCAGCUGUAAACGAUGGACACUAGGUGUUGGCGGUUCGAAUCCGUCAGUGCCGGAGUUAACGCAUUAAGUGUCCCGCCUGGGGAUUACGGUCGCAAGACUGAAACUCAAAGGAAUUGACGGGGGCCCGCACAAGCGGUGGAGCAUGUGGUUUAAUUCGAUGCAACGCGAAGAACCUUACCGAGAAAUGACAUCCCGUGCCAGGCUGUGAAAGCAGAGAUUAGUGUUUACACUACACGGAGACAGGUGGUGCAUGGCUGUCGUCAGCUCGUGUCGUGAGAUGUUGGGUUAAGUCCCGCAACGAGCGCAACCCUUGUCCUUAGUUACCAGCAAGUAAUGUUGGGGACUCUAAGGAGACUGCCGGUGAAAAUCGGAGGAAGGUGGGGAUGACGUCAAGUCCUCAUGCCCUUUAUAUCUCGGGCUACACACGUGCUACAAUGGUCGGUACAGAGGGAAGCGAGGCUGUGAAGCCAAGCGAAUCUUGAAAACCGAUCCCAGUUCGGAUUGCAGGCUGCAACUCGCCUGCAUGAA